UCUGACAACACUGUAGGGACAUACAUAUAUGGGCGUUUCCUAAAAUAAACAUUCUGACAACACUGUAGGGACAUACAUAUUGGGCGUUCCUAAAAUAACAUGCAACACUGUAGGGACAUACAUAUAUGGGCGUUCCUAAAAUAAACAUUCUGACAACACUGUAGGGACAUACAUAUAUGGGCGUUCCAAAAUAAACAUUCUGACAACACUGUACGGACAUACAUAUAUGGGCGUCCUAAAAUAAACAUUCUGACAACACUGUACGGACAUACAUAUAUGGGCGUUCCUAAAAUAAACAUUCUGACAACACGUACGGACAUACAUAUAUGGGCGUUGCUAAAAUAACAUUCUGACAACACUGUAGACCAGGGAAGGCAACAACUCCAGCUCCUCUGGGACGGACCCGGUUCUGUGUCACUCCAAAGAUUGAAAAACAGACGCUGCUUUUGAAAGAAAACCCAUCGUAAAAAUACAGUUCUCUAAUAUCAAACCAAUAUUCCUAAAAAUAAAUAAAAACAACUAUUUUAUUAGAUACUGUUGAUAACGGGUAAUUUACAGAAACAUUGAAGGACACAAGAUUUGAUUUCAGGUGUUGAUAGAAAAAUGACUCCAAAGCAAAAAGGACUUUCUAGUUUAAGAACCAAUACAAAAUGGAAUGUUCUGCAAAUUAUUUGGGCUUUAAUAAUAUAUUUUUAAUCAAAUUUAACAUGUUGACGAUUUGUGGCUUGAAACUAAAACCCACUCACCAAAAGGUGUUUAAAUGAUGUUUAAAAAUAGUGGCCACACUUAAAGGGUACCAAUUCAAGGAUAUUAAAGGACUACAAGGAGUCCCCACACGUCUAAAAAUAAUAAUGAAUAUACUUGAUCCAUAUUAAUUAUUGUUUUUAUAGAAAGAACGUGAUCUCUCCAGAAAUACCGGCAGAUUUUCUACAAGUGGUCACCCACACAUUGGAUUCUCACCAGAAGUAAGACAGACAGAUUUCUCUAGAAGUGGUCACCCACACAUUGGAUUCUCAGCCAGAAGUACAGACAGAUUUCUAGAAGUGUCACGACCCACACACACAUUGGAUUCUCAGCCCAGAAGUACAGACAGAUUUUCUAGAAGUGGUCACCCACACAUUGGAUUCUCAGCCAGAAGUACAGACAGAUUUUCUAGAAGUGGUCACCCACACAUUGUAUUUCAGCCAGAAGUACGACAGAUUUUCUAGAAGAGGUCCCCAACAUUGGAUCUCAGCCAGAGUACUGGCAGAUUUUCUAGAAGAGGUCACCCACACAACUGUAAUCAUUUUAAGUAUUUAGUAAUGAUUCUCUAAAACUCGAAACCCUUGAAAUGGCACCUUGGCACAAAGUUGUAUCAAAAAGGAAAUGAAAGCCCAUGUUGAGCAGGGAAAAUUACAGUCAUCUCAGAUCUAGUGUAGGGCUGGUCAAGAUGGAAUGGCCCCCUGUUCAGAAAGAUGGGUAAAGUAGGAGUUUUUAGUUAUGAUUUAUCUAGUUACAGUUAA
rnacentral:lncRNA from 1 species